UGUGAACAUACCUAUUUGUUGCCUCGGCGGUGCCUGUUCCGACAGCCCGCCAGAGGACCCCAAACCCUGAUUACAUUUAAGAAGUCUUCUGAGUAAACCGAUUAAAUAAAUCAAAACUUUCAACAACGGAUCUCUUGGUUCUGGCAUCGAUGAAGAACGCAGCGAAAUGCGAUAAGUAAUGUGAAUUGCAGAAUUCAGUGAAUCAUCGAAUCUUUGAACGCACAUUGCGCCCGCUAGUAUUCUGGCGGGCAUGCCUGUCCGAGCGUCAUUUCAACCCUCAAGCCCCCGGGCUUGGUGUUGGGGAUCGGCGAGCCUCCGCGCCCGCCGUCCCCUAAUCUAGUGGCGGUCUCGCUGUAGCUUCCUCUGCGUAGUAGCACACCUCGCACUGGGAAACAGCGCGGCCACGCCGUUAAACCCCCAACUUCUGAACGUUUGACCUCGGAUCAGGUAGGAAUACCCGCUGAACUUAAGCAUAUCAAUAAGCG
rnacentral:rRNA from 1 species